CCCGCUCCGGAUCCUUCCAUCCAUCACGAGCCCACAGCUCCACUUCCCUUUUAUUUCCGCCGCCGCGCCACGCCAUCUCGGCCAAGGACAAGGCUCCGGCUGCCGCCACCGCCUCUGCCCCGGCUAUAAAGCCGCGCCCUUUGGCCGGUCCGCUCCUCCUCCUCCUCCUCUCUUCGUCCGGGCCGCGCCCCUCGCCUGCUCGCCGUGCUCUGCCCGGUCCGCUCCUCCUCCUCUUCGUCCGGGCGGUGCCUCUCUCCUCCGGCGCCCCGCCGCGCUCUGGCCGGUCCGCUGCUCCUCCACCCUUCGCCCGAGCCGUGCGUAUGUCCUCCUCGAGCCGGGUUUUAUCUUGCUCGCCAUCCUCGAUCGAUUUGCCCGUCUAGAAUCGUGUCUGGAUUUGAUUUUGCUCGUCCUCGGUCGAUUUGUCCGUUCAGGGUCGCGUCCGGAUUUGAUUUUGCUCGCCGUCACCGUCGCCUUCGCCGGUUUAGAUAGCUAGAGAACCCCGCCUAAUUUGAUUUUGCUCGUUCUCGCCGUCGUCCGUUUAGAACCGCGUCCACUCGCGCUGAAUUCGUCAGUUUAGAACCGCUCCCGAGUUGAUUUUGCGCGUCCCCGCCAUCGUCAGUUUAGAGUCGCUCGCUUCUGAUUUGAUUCUGCUCGUCCUCGCUGUCGCCCGUUUUUGCUCGUCCUAGCCGUUGCCCCGACGCGCUCGCGUGUUCCUGGUCCGUCUCGUCGAGGGUCUCCUUCUGGUUUGCGAUUCAGAAAUUUCUGCGUGUGCUUCUGUUGUCUGAGAGACGCUUUGGAUCCUGCGUUUCUUCGUGUUCGUGUCAGCGCGAGCGUUACAGGAACGGUCGGGUCUUGGUUUUGAAUUUGGGUUGCGGCCGGAGAUGGAGAGGCGGAGAGCACUUGUCAGUUUGUCGUGCUAGUUCAGAUCGGUUCAUAGGCUCCUGCGGUUGUUCGUCGGUUGUUUUCUGAUCUCAAACGGCUAGCUUGUUCGUGUACUCUGGUUCCUAUGUCGAUUCUGAUUGUACCAGCUAGCUUGCUUCACUUUCGUCAGGCUAGAUGCAGGGGUGAUUUUGUUCUGAUGGGUGUUAAUUUCUCUUCUUUUCAAUUGGUUGGUUACUUCCUAUCAUGCUCUGUUUAUGUUCCCACAUAUGCUGAUGUGUGUUGAGGGGUGCAAACCAUGUAGGCCGUGGGUGCCAUUUCGAGCAGGCAGGCAUAGCAGAAAGUUUUACAAGAGUGCAAAUCAUGUGGCUUGCUGCUUGACUAAUGGAACACCUGCUGCUGCUACUGUAGGACAAGGUUUCCUUCUUUUAUUCCUCGUGUCCAUAUUCAUAUAGGAGUACUAGAUGAGGUGCUGCUAGUCCUUUGACUUCGUUCUAGAUUGCAUAACAUGACUUCAGAAUUUUUUCAUUGCACACCUAGGCAUAUGGUUCUGCUGUGAGCAUAACUCCAGAGUUUAUUUAUCUAUGAAAGCACGCUCAUCACAUGUUUCUUAUCAAUGCUGCUCACUUUUGUCAUGUCCCUUUUGUUUGUCCUGUUAAAUUUUAUGGAGCAAAUUUUGUACUCACUCUAGUUAAAAUAUCAAGAACGCUGACUUCUGUAUUUGUCGCUAUGUAAGCCAUGCACUUGGGAAGCCUGGGCGUGAUUAGGAUUUGGAUUGCAUAUAGAUUUUAUGCUAUGCUUGUUUAUAACCUGAUUCUGACCUAAUAUAGUGUAAAUCUGCUAAUUUUUUUUAAUUUAAUUUAUGUUAAACGCAAGUAGGUUUUGUUUGCAAGUGGUAUUUCUUUUGUGUGUGUAUGAACAUUCACCGCUGUCAAUUUUUCUUAUCAUAAUCAUUUACCGUGGUGUUCGACAAUACAUUUCUACUGUUCUUUGUUCCCUUUGAGGUUCACUGACUCAAUUAUGCAUGAGAUAUGAUAUCAAUUACUGCUUCGUGACAAGAAUAAGCAUGUGUCUCUCUGUCUACAAACUUGUGGUUAGUGCCGUAGUGAUGAUGAUCUAACUAGCUUCCUGUUUUCAGGAAUGAAGAUCUGAAUUACCCUCAACCCUCUACAGAAAUCAGUUUACUCAUUCAGUUUCUAGAACUUCUUUAUAGCUUUCUGAGUUUACUUCGGUCUUGCAUGGAUUAGCUUUCUGUUUGCACCCCUAUCUAUUUCUGUUUCUUUGUGUGUUUCUUGUGUGCAAGUGCUCCAUUGUGUGUGUCUUGACUGUGUGUCUGACUGUGUGUGUGUGAUGUGCCCCUAUCUAUGUAUGUUUCUUUGUCUGUUUCAUGUGUGCAAGCACUCCACUGUCUGUGUGUGACUGUGUUUGACUGCUUAGAUGGGGUGAUUCUGAUUGUGUUACUGCUUAUAUGGUCUGUCCAAUUGGUUUCUUCUUCAUGCUUUGCUUGUGUUCCAGUGUCGUCUCCCCAUGUAUGGGGAUGUGUUGAGGGAUGCAAACCAUGUAGGCCGUUUCGAGCAGGCACGAAUCCAGAGACACUGGUCAGGCUUCUCUCCUGCUGAUAGAUGAUGAUAGGCUAAGCGGAAAAGUUUGAUUCUUGUAACACUCACUUGCUUGGCUUCCACUCCUUUGCGUGGCCGAUUUGGCAUCCAAUGCAUCCCAUGCCCUUUUCCCUGUUUAUCUCACUCACUCAUUACAGCACGCUUUUCCCUGUUUUUGUUCCUUAUUUUUCUUAUCAUAAUAAUCAUGUUUACCGUGGUGUUUGACAAUACAUUUUUUGUGAUAUCUGUGUUUCCUUAUGUCUUAUGUGGAUAUCAUAUUCUUUUUUUGUAUUACUGAUGUCCAAUCACUAGAAUAAUGCUUUUCUAAGUAUUUCAGGUAGGAUAUAGACAAAUGUCACAUCUGCUCUUCCUUGCAUUGCUAAGGACACUGAUGGGUUGGGUUUGCUUACAGCCAGGACCGAUAAUUCUGAUAGUAUGCCAAGGACUGCUCAGGGUUCCUAUCGCUUUUUGUUUUACCAACUAAGCUGAAUAUUUCCAGAUAGGACAGAAGUGCAAUGUUUACAUCCAUGGAAGAAGGUUCUUUAGCACUGAACUCAUCAAAGCUCCUUGGACUCAAGAGGAAGAUGACGAAAUUAUUGACCUUGUAAACAAGUAUGGACUAACAAACUGGUCUCGUUGCAAGGUCAGCUACCAGAACUUCCUGCUUCUGAUCCUGUGAUGUUUCCGAACAUGCUCCCGAACAUGUCCAGUUUAUCCCCCUAGGACAGAUUCACUCUGAUUUGCAGUUUAUUUGGUGAUGAUGGCAGAAUAAACCCACCUGUGAUCUAUCACGCUUCUUUCUUCCCUUUGCAUCGAUCCACUUGCAAUGACACAGCAGGCUACUCGGCAUGCUCGGCGUGUUUACUUCUGUGGACUUCCUCCGAUCGCUAAUGAACAGACGGUUGCUCUAUUCUUCAAUCAAGUUAUGGCUACUAUCGGGGGAAACACAUUUGGUCUAGGUGGCAUAAUCAUCUGAAUCCAAACAUAUGGAACGAUGCUUGGACUACUGAGGAGGAACAUGCACUGAUUAAUGCCAUCAGGUAUAUGGGAAUAAAUGAGCAGAAAUAGCAAAAGUUAUUCCUACUGCAUGCCAAACAACUUACAUCAUGGGUCUUGCUUGUAGUAUUAGCUUUCUGUUU